rnacentral:lncRNA from 1 species
CCCAAAAGAAAUAUCCAUCGAUCAGAUCCAGGAGCCUAACCGGCCACCAGCACCUCCCUGGCGCCCCUGUUCUACUCCCACGCGAUCGGCGAGCCGCCAGGCGGCCAUGGCCAGGGCUGUUGCCAUCGCCUGCUCGGCGAUCGGACGUGCGCACGGCGGCGCGGACAGCGGACGGCGCGACUAAUCUAUCCCCGCUCACUUCAGUUCCGAUCUCUGCAGUCGGCAGCAGAGAGCAGACAUUGAUUCAGUUUGAAACCAACAUCCCACGGAUUCAGGUAUAAUAUGCUAAUUAGAUGUAUUAAUCCAUCACUUCUGAAAUUGGGGCCUCUUCUCUCAUGCCAAUUCUUAUUUCUUGGUCGAAUUGAAUUCAUCUAUAGGGGCAUGAUUUUCUUCUUGUACUGCCAAACACUGUUUUUUUUUUUUGAGAAUUACACAAACUGAUCAAUCAGCCUGGUUAAAGUCUUUCCUCAAUGUAUCACUCAGCUCAUCUUGCAUGCCGGCAAAGAUCGCCCAACUUAGAUGCAAAAGCUGCUAGGGCAUGAGCAAGUUUGUUCUUGUCCCUCUGAAGCCAUUUUUUCAGAUGUGAUCCAAAAUGUCUACACCCCAACGAGAAGAGCGGGGUCCCCUGAUAGUCCCUGGCAACUGCAUUGCACCGCACCCGCUCUCACCCGUCGCGGCAACAAAGGGCGCGUCUGCAUUUAGUUUAAACCACGCCGGUGAUUGGAGGGCGCCAUUGCUCUCUGAUCGUACUCAGAGGAACCGGGCACUGAUCGUCAUACAAAUUCAUACAGAAAACGCCCCUCUCGGCCUCUGAUUUCCCCUGUGCGAUCCUGACUUCUUCCUCAUACUUGAGCAGGAAAGCAACUGAUCCCGAGAUGGUUUCCUUUCCAUUACUGUGGAUUAUAUUAUCCCGGAGAAACCAUGCCCGCCAUAACAUGAGUAGGAUUUUGUUUCGGGUAUCACCAUCGCAUGUAUUUAGGAGGUUCUGAAGCCAAUCCUCCCCGUGUACCGGAAAGCAUUUUCUUUUGGGAGCCUCCAAUGAUCUCUCAUUGCUUGUCUCAGGGCUCUACUUUUCAUACACGAUAUAACAUCAUGGAACUCAUCUUCCUCCGUGUUGCCGCAAAUAUCACAAGUGUUGUCCGUAGCAACAGUUCGUCUGCAUUUGUUAGCUUUGGUGGCUAGAUGUUUGUAGCCACCCUCCAUCCGUGUAUUUUAAUUUUUCCGGGGAUUCUCUCUUUCCAAAUAAGAUCCCAGCUGCUGCGGUCGUCAACACUCGCAGUGGAGCUAGAGGUCUGGGGCCGCUCCCUUUUGUUGCCAUCUCUAGCCUGUAGGCACUCUUCACAGUAAAAUUGCCGGAGUUCUCAUAGUGCCAAGCCACACAAUCCACAGUCUCCCCUUUUGGUAUUCUUAUUCUGACAAUUUCAGAAGCAUCAAAAGGAUUGAAUAUCCUGUUGGUAAGUCCAUGGUUCCACUCUUUAGUGACCGGAUCAAUAAGUUGGUUUACCCAUCUCAGCCUCGGCCUCCAUGUGAAGUUAGCAACCUUUAGGCCCUCUUUCCUUGGGAUCCAUUGGUUCCUUUGGAUUUGGAUGUUGUUUCCAUUACCACCCACUCUCCAAAUUAGCCUUCUCUUCAGCAGCUCUAGGCCGAACUCAAUUCCUCUCCAGGUCGGAGAUGCAUCAUAUGCAAAAAAACCGUGUCUAAUAGUUCUCCUUUAGGGUAGUAUUUGACUUGAGGACCCUCGCACACAAACUGUCCGGAUGGUGGAUCAACCUCCAUCCAUUUCUUACCAGCAAUGCUUGGUUGAAUAAGUGCAUGUCCCUUAAACUGAUGCCUCCUCCUCUCCUUGGUUUUGUCAUAUUGUCCCAUUCAUCACCCCAAUAUAAGUCUCUAAUCAGUCUCUCAUACUUGUCAUAGAACCCCAUGGACACCUUAAACAAAACCAUAGUAAAGGUAGGUAGGGCUUGGACAAUUGAUUUUACAUGGACUUCGACAUAUGUCUGCCCGACCCGUUGGUGCAUCUUUUCAUGAACCUUUCCAUAUUCGAUAAAAUUAUCUUCCUUAAUUCUACUAUCGGGGGUAGGUAAGCCAAUGUAUUUUCUUUCAAAAGUUGAGGCCUCAACUUCGAGUACCUCUCUAAUGCCAUUCUGGAUAGGGUCCAGACAUUUCUCACUGAACAACAAAGAGCACUUAUUUGGGCUUACGAGCUGACCAGUGCCCCUCUAGAAAGUGGAUAGCAUGUAUUUUACCACCUCUGCUUGAUCAACUGAAGCUUUGAAAAAAAGAAGGCUAUCAUCCGCGAAGAGCAGAUUAGAAAUUCCUGGGCUUCCUCGAGCAACUUUAGCGGCAAGAUGUCGCCACCACUAACUUCCAUCUGCAGAAUCCGUGAUAGGCCAUGUGCCGCAAACAGAAAUAAGUAUGGGCUGAGGGGGUCACCUUGUCUAAGCCCACGGGUCAGUUGGAAUCUCUCUAGUAGUUCUCCAUUGCAUUCCACAGAGUAUCUCACGGACCGGACACGAACCAUAAUCCAUGCUAUCCAUUUUUUGCCGAACCCAUAUUGGUCCAAAACACCCUCCAAGAACCUCCAAUCCACCCUGUCGUAAGCCUUGGCGAGGUCAAGCUUGUAUGCACAGUGUGUGUUCGUAGGAUAACUGCUAUGCUGGAUUUUGUGGAAACAUUCAAAAGCAAUCGGUGCAUUAUCCGUAAUCAUUUGGCCGGGAAUAAACAUAAUCUGUGUCUCGGAUAAAAGGCCAUCCGAGAGGGGACGCAGCCGGUUGACCAAGCAUUUUGAGAGCACCUUGUAGAUGACAUUACAUAGACUAAUCGGUCUGAAAUCCUUCAACGAUCGUGGAUCAUUACCUUUGGGAAUGAGAACAAUGGCGGUGUCGUUUAGGCCCUUGAGCAUGAUUCCCUCAUCAAAGAAAUUAUGUACAACCUUCACUACAUCAGUCCUCAAAAGCCCCCAAUUCCUUUGGUAAAAUCAGGCAGGGAGACCAUCCGGUCCAGGGGCCUUUAGCGGUCCAAUCUGAAAAAGCGCAUUGCCGAUUUCCUUAUCAGUAAAUUCUUUCUCGAGUUCAUCAUCCAUUUCUUGGCUGAUCAUCCGUGUGAACAUGUCUAAUAGUUCGUGUGGGUUAACAUUCUUGUCCUCGGUAAACAGUUCCUUAAAGUAAUUUGUUUUCAUGCUCUCGAGGUCCUUCUCAACCCACUGACCUACUCCAUUUUGCACUUCCAUAAUGGUGUUUUGUUUUCGUCUGCAAGUAGCUCGCUCGUGAAACCAUUCCAUGUUCAUAUCCCCCUCACGUAAAUAUGUUGCUUUAGACCUCUCUCGCCACAUGAUCGCCUCGCGUAAGAGUAAUUCAACCAACUCAUCCGCAACCCUUUUUAUCUCCCUGUCAUUUGUUGCACUCUGCGAUUUAUUCAUGAGGGAUUGCAGUUUACUCCGGAGCUUUUUUUGUUUGCCUAGCUAGCAACUGAACCAAACUCCGAAUUACUCCAUUUGCCGAGCCCCUGCUGUAAUGCACACACCUUGUUCUGAACCUCUUGUCGUGUUGCAGCAGAUCCUCCCUUGCUCCAAAUUUCCUGAACCAACUCAUCCAUCGACCCCUCUCUCUCCCACAUAUGGCUUCGUAUCUGAACUCCUUUUUCUUUCUAUACACCAUGUUGCCUCCAAACUAAAGUAGAAGCGGGAGAUGGUCAGACCUUGCUGAACAAAAAUACUGAAUGUUAGCAUUUUGAGUUAUAUUCUAGAAUGUAUAUUUUUCACGUUGUAUGAGGGGUUUCCUCCACAUUUACCAUCUGUACUUGUAUAUAUANNNNNNNNNNNNNNNNNNNNNNNUAUAUAUAUAUAUAUAUUGGUCAUUUGCUUUCAGGGAAUACAAGUUGCAUAUUUCUAAUGGUAUUAGAGCAUAGGUAUUUUAGCACGCGCAACUCGUGCUUGAUCCUCUCCUCAUCGUCGGCACGUUUCUUUUGGUCCGGUUGUUGCUUCCUACUCCUCCAACUACCCAACCUCUCCGCCUUGUCCCGAUCCACCUCGCGUCGCUCGCGUCAAGCCGCUGCGAAGGCGCUUGAUCUCCGUAUCUCGUCGCUGCUCCUGUUUUCGCCUUGAGCCGCCGCAAAGGUGCCCGAUCUCUGCGCCCGUCNNNNNNNNNNNNNNNNNNNNNNNNNNNNNNNNNNNNNNNNNNNNNNCUCUGCGCCCGUCACUGCCCUCGUAGCCGAUCUUCACCGCCAAACACCGCCCUCGCGUUUUCCCCGGAUCCCGGACCGCCGACCUUGUCAGAUCUUUGCCGCUGCCGCCCCCUCCCUGGGUCUACAUCCUCCUUAGCACUCUCUUUUUUUAGGCAAAUGUCUUCCUAUUCUCUCCUAUAGGGUUGGAGAUUGUCUUCACAAGAGUAGUCCACUGAGGAUAGAUACCGUCACAUGGGUAGUCUCAUUUGUUGUAGUGGUGGCCACUAAUCACAAGAUUGAGCUCUGGGCAGUUGCCUUUUGCAAGCCCUGCAAACACCGGAGAGUGUUGAAAUACAUUGAUGUCGUUGUGAGAUCCGGCCAUGUCAAAGAANNNNNNNNNNNNNNNNNNNNNNNNNNNNNNNNNNNNNNNNNNNNNNNNNNNNNNUGUAAAAUCCAGAAAUGUUGAGCCAUGGCCUCAAAUAUGACAGUGGAAGCUUUCACAUGGCCCCUAUACUAUCCCUGCCAAGUAGAAGGGUAGUUCUUUCACUCGUAGUGCAUACAAUCUAUGCUACCAAGAAUCCCCAGAAAGCCCUUACUCGCAUUGAUCCCCAACAACAAGGCUGUAUCUACAAUAUUUGGCUCCCUCAAGUGCUCCGGGCCAAACACUGCUACUAGAGCCUUGCAAAACUUGUACAUGUACUCUAGUCAUGUGGAGUUGCUCAUUCGGACAUAAUGGUCAAUGAGACCAGCGAAUACUCUGUAUGCAAGCAUUCGAAUAGUCGUAGUUCUUUUCUGAUAAGAGGAGAAGACAAUCUUUCUGAUACAUGGCAAAACCGAGGGUGUUGACCUUUUCACACUUGGAGGGGAAAAGGAGAGAAAUCAAACAAACACUCAAGACAAUCUUCGAUCACACAUCUGCUAAACCCAUGAAACACAAGAGGAUGCAAUGAUUCGAGUCCAAUACGGGAUACAAGUAAAGAUGAUAGUUCUUCCCACUCAAAGAGAUGUUGCCUUGAAUCCUUAGAGGAUUUUUCCUAUGAUAGGGAUCUUCUCACAAAAAGGUCAUCUCCAUGGAGGAGGAAGUGGAAGGAGCAAUGCUCAACUAGCUAAGAGCCAAACAUAUGCUAAGCCUAGAUGGAGGAGUCCUUUAUAUAGUCUUAGGCGAGAGAGAGGGGAGAGAGGGGGCCUUCGGCCCGUGUCUGUCUAAGCAAGGGCCGAAUGUCUAGCCGGGGCCCUCAUGUCUGGGGCUUCUUGGGACACCAGAUGUCCGGACAGGAGAGACACAAGUCCGCGAGGUUCUGGACCCUCUUUGCUGGAUUUCCACUCGAGGUCUGGAUUUCUAAACGGGUGCCUUAUGUCCGGCUAGGGGGUGGAUGUAUGUUUAGCGGCCGGAUGUUCGGCCGCUGAAGCUUCAGCUGGCCUUCGAUUCUGGACUGGUGGCGCCGGAUUUCUGGGCCCUCGGCCCGAUGACCAACCGCUGGGAGGUCUUUGUGACUUCCUUUGGAGCUUGCCUUCAUCCAUCUUCUCGUUUGUCUCUGUGGUUACUUGUCCUUCACUCCAAGUGUCUCCGAGGUCGUCUUCAUGAUACCGAAGUAUGAAAAACAUUCCUCCUUGAGGUAGCGACCAUGUCUCAAGUGGACAGAACUAUGGAUCGGUAAGGAGAGAUGUCACCUCGAUUUCGAUGGCGCGUCUGCGAGCUCUUGUCAUAGGAUCACUUGGAGCUUGAGAGGGUGUUGUAGAAUCCAUGGGGAUGACCAUGGGAUGCUCCCCAUCACUUUCCGAGGUCCUCCUCCCUGCACUCGAAAUAGUUAUCGUAUACCCCAUCCCCUCCCAGAUACGGCUGAACACAUGUCUAGUCAUCCGAAAACGGCGCCUUAAUAGGUGGUGUUUGAAGAGGGGGUUAGGGGACUAGAAGUAAUCCUUUCAGAGUAGGCAAUGACAGCUCUCUUUGUUACGAUUCAGUGUCGGAGUAUGGCCCGGGAUCGAGCCAUUGAACACCAUUCACUCCCUACUCAUUGUUGGGAAACAUAGUAUAAACCAAAAAAAGGCCCUACAAUGGACUAGGAACACCAUGAACAUAAAAUAACGGUUACGAUCAAAUGGUUACCAACUUUGAGUUGCAGCAGAAGAAGAUGAGUCGGUGUAAAUCAUUGAUGAAGUCCCUCAAUCACUAGAUGAAUGAUCUAGUGAACCGCCCACAAACAAUCCCUCGAACGUAAGGUCGAAAGCACAACAUCUCUAAGAGUUGCAACGUAAGGUCUUCAUGAUCCGACAGUGCUUCACCGUGCAGGGCUAAUCAUCGCCUGGGAAUUAGAGGGAGGAUAUUAAAACCACACUCUGCUUCAAUUACGAGGAUCAGAUGAUUACAAUUAGAGGGAGGAGAUUAGAACCAUUCGUCGUAACAAGAAAUUGCAACAUACUCGUUUUGGUGGUGAUAAAUAGGUAUCACAUCGAGUAAAAUGUUUGUAGCAACAAACUAUUGCUACAAUUUGAACCUUUUGUGGCGAUACUCUAUUUCAAAAAAAACUUAGCUUGGUGGCGCUAAAUAGCUACGACAAUGGGCAAAAUAUUUGUAGCAAGAAGCUACUAUGACAAUGUAAACCUUGUGAGCCGAUACUCUAUUUCAACAAAACUUACUUUCAUGGUGCCACACAAUUAUUGCAUCGUGAAGAAAAAUAUGAUGCCAAGCUAUUGCGACAAUAUAAAGUGCUUGACUGCAACAUCCUAAUGCAACAAAACACAUAGGCAUGGCGGCUGAGAUUUGAAGCAAUACUACAUUUUUCGUAGUGCUAACAUGUGGCAACCGAAAGUGGGUUAUGUUAAUAGCCUAUUGCAACCAUAAAAAUAAAACAUGUAUUCAAUUACAAUAUUCAAAAUCAUACAUAUAAUAUCUAGAUUUAUAAAAUUCAUAAUUCUCGUAGCAAGUAUCCAUCAAGUGAACAAAUGUAAUUUAGCCAUCCAAAUUAAAUGUCAAGACUAAACUGUCCGUGUUCUCGAGUCCAGUCUAGAUAGUUCUUUGGAUCCUACAAUUAAGAAAUCGGAAAAAAGUUCUAGUUAAUGAGCCCAACAUAACAUAUGCCAUAUAAUAUUCCAACCCAUUGUUGAAAAGAAAUGGCGCGAGCCUACCUGGACUAAUACCGUGUCAGCAAGUAUGUAACUAAGGGAUGAGAAUACUUUUACAAGUGUAAAUUUCUAAAGCUAAGCACAAGUACAUCUACUAAAGCUUCCGAAAUUGAUUUAAGUUGUGACUCGAUAUAUAAUUUCAGUUAACUUCGCGUCCCUAGCUAGCACAUAUUUGGUUUUUGUUCAAGUUGUGACGCAAUGCAACAACAACAUAUGGUGAAAGAGAAGAAGCAGCUAUCUAAUUAUGAUGGUUGAUGACGUAUAAAAUGGAGGUGAACAUGAAGAUAAAGAAAGGUUAUGACUUGCCAUUGCUUCAAACAUCGAGAAUUCCUUGUUGCACCUUGUAUGAUCGCAUUUGGAGUCUUAUUAGGACUAGAUAUAUGUAAAAGAGUAUUUUGUAAGUUUGGAAUACUAUUUUCUUUGUCAACCUUCUUCGUAGGCACGGGUAUAUAGAAGUGCACUUUUGGAAAUGCAAGUAAGCAAAAUAAAUCAUACAAGGUCACAAACAUAUGGUUGUAAUCACUUGUUGGUUCCCAUAUGUUCUGCUCAAUUCUGCAAACUUUUCCAUCAAGUUUUCUUUUUCAAAUUCCAGUCUUGAUAUUCGCUACGCUUCCAACAAUCUUUCCCUUUCAGCAUGCUCUUCUUUUAACCUCUCCUCAAGUUGUUCUCUCUUAGCACGCUCCAAGUUUAUCCUCUCUUGUGUGUUUGCAUGUUCAACUUGUAAUUGAUCUUGCAAUUCGUUGACCAGUUGGCUGAGCUCAGAGUUUUGAUGUUGGGUGACUACUGUAGCACGAGCUUGCUCUUCAUUCUAGAUAUGAAACCUUUCAAAAUUAGUUGAAUGUUUGGUUGCGUAUCUCUACUUACGAGGCUGCGAUGACUUGCAUUACAAAGUGUCUUUGUAUGCGGUCUAAAAAAUAUUGUUUCUCUGCUCACUUGAAAGUGGACCUUGAGUUCCAGUUUCUUUGUUUUUCAACCUCUUGACAUGCUUUGUCCUAAACAUGAAAAGACCAAUUAUAGGUAUGGCAUCAAUAUUGACACUAUAAAAGAUGAAAAAAUAAUAACAUGAUCCAACAAUAACAUGAUCCAACGCAUGAAUAAUCCCAGCUCAUGAUGAAGCAUGCCAAAUGGACAUCAUUGAAUAACUAUAGAAUAACCGAAAGUCAGUGUGCUCGCGUAAACAUCAUGUGACUCUGUGUUAGACCAUGUUCCAUUAUUCGUGUGGGUGAGUUCCCACAUAACAAUAUAAUUUGGCUCUUCUUCGGUUUUUAAGUUUCUCUGAAAGUAAUAUAACAACGAGAUGCUUGAAACAUGAAACCAUAUUUAGCAGCGAGACAUACAUAUUUAGUUACACUCAUACCUUGUGAAACUUACUUGCGAGUAAGAUUUUGGUCCAAUUAUGUGCUUUAUCUUUUCUUUCUUAUGGUUAUCGGCGUUCUUUUGGACGCAUUCCUAUUAAUUAAUUGAAAACCAAACAUAAUCAACUAGACAAGAAAUUUGAUCUUAACACAUAAUAGAGAAACACUCAUCUUAGAGAUACCUGAAAUUUUGAAUCAGUCCCAAAGUACUCAAUCAUCCCUUCCGACUCUUUUGGUUGUAAAUCUUCCGGGAGAUUAGCCAUUCUAGUUGCCUUCAUUUUGUAUGCCUUGUAAGUGCAGCCUAGAAUUGAUUGUCAACCUUUAUAUCGCUCUUUCGUAAUUUUGAGAACUUUUUUCUUGUGUUUUUGGUGUAUCUUCCAUGUCACAUUUGUCCUGUGCAGCAUACAAUAAAUGAACAUACAUAAGCAAUGCAUUAUCGAUAGUAAAAAAGAUUACACAUGUCAAAAAGGUUUUACGUACUAUCGUAUAUGCAACAAUGAGUCAAUGUAUGAUAGGGUGAAUUUGCGACCAUGAUCCUCACUGCUAAAUGGAAAAAAAAGUUACCACUCAUUGGAGUGAGGACGUGGUCGGACAUUCAUCCUACCAUCCAUCGACUCAUUGUUGCAGAAAUGAUAGUGCGUACAACCUUUUUGUCAUGUGUUAUCUUAUUUUACCAUCGAUAAUGCACUGCUUAUGUAUGUUGAUUUGUUUUAUUUUGUACAAAACAAAUGGGACCUGAAAGAUACACCACAAGCAGAAGAAAAGUUCUAAAAAUUGCGAAAGAGCGAUAUAGAGGCUCGCGAUCAACUCUAGGCUCCACUUACAAGGCGUACAAAAUGGAUGCAACUAGAAUGGCUAAUCUACCGGAAGAUUUACAACCAAAAGAGUGGGAAUGGAUGACCGAGUAUUUUGACACUCAUUAAAAAUUUCAAGUUAUCUCUAAGAUCACUGUUUGUCUACUGUUUGUUAAAAUGAAAUGGCUUGUCUAACUGGUUAUAUUUGGUUUCAAUGAAUUGAUAGGAAUGCAGCCAAAAGAACUCCAGUAACCAUGAGAAAAGAAGACAAAAUAGAGAAUUGGAUCAAAAACUGACUCACAAGUAAGUUUUGAGAAUAUAUGAGUCUAACUAAAUAUGUAUGCCUCGCUGCUAAAUAUGGUUCCAUGUUUCAAGCAUCUCGUUGUUAUAUUACUUGCUGAGAAACUUGGAAACUGAAUAAGAGCCAGAUUGUAUUGUUUUGUGGGAACUCACCCACGCAAAGAAUGGAACAUGGUCUAACAUAGAGCCCGAGGAUGUUUACAUGAGUACACUGAUUUUUGGUUAUUCUAUAGUUGUUCAAUGAUGUGCAUUCGACAUGUUUCAUCAUCAGCUGGGAUUAUUCAUGCGUUGGAUCGUGUUAUUUUUGUUUCAUCUUUUAUAGUGUAAAUAUUGAUGCAAUAGCUACAAGUAUUCUUUUAAGUUUUCGGACAAAGCACGUCAAGAGGUUGAAAACGAAGAAACUAAAACUCAACGUCCACUUUUAAGUGAGCAAAGAAACAAUAUUUUCCAGAACGCAUAAAAAACACUCUGUAAUGCAAUCUAAGACUCGUGGUUACUGAUGCAUGUCCAAACUUUCAACUAGUACUGAAAGGUUUCGAAUCCAGAUUGAAGAGCAAGCUCGUGCUAUAGCAGUCACCCAACAGCAAAAUUGUGAGCUCAGCCACGAGGUCAAUGAAUUGCAAGAUUAACUAUAAGCUGAGCGUGCGAACACACAAGAGAGGAUUAACUUGGAGCAUACUGAGAGAGAAUAACUUGAGGAGAGGUUAAAAUAAGAGCAUGCUGAAAGGGAAAGAUUGUUGGAAGCGAAGCGAACAUCAAGACUGGAAUUUUAAAAAAAAAACAUGAUGGCAAAGUUCGCAGAAUCGAGCCAAUAGAUGAGAACCCAACAGGUGAUUACAGUCAUAUGCUUGCGACCUUGUAAGAUUUAUGUUGCUUACUUGCAUUGCUAAAAGUGCAGUUAUAUUUACAGGUGCCUACGAAGAGGAUUGCCAAAGAAAAUACUAACCGAAACUUGCAAAAUAGACUUUUACAGAGUAGUCCUUAUAAGACUCCAUGUGCAAGCCCAACUAUCAUUUCUUGAAGUGCGCUCAUACAAGUUGCAUGAAGGAAUUCUCGAAUGUUUAAAGCAAUGGUAAGUCACAACCUUGCUUUCUCUUCAUAUUCACCUGCAUUUUAUAUGUCAUUGGACUUCAUAAUUAGCUAGCUGCUUCUACUCUUUCACCAUGUGUUGUUGUUGCAUCAAGUCACAACUUGAACAAAACCAAACAUGUGCUAGAUAAGGACAUGAACUUAACUGGAAUUAUACAUCAAGUCGCUACUUAAAAUCAAUAGCGGAAGCUUUUACUAGAUGUACUUGUGCAUAUGCUUUAGACAUUUACACUUGUAAAAUUGUUUUGAUCCGUGAGUUCCAUGCUUGCUGGCACUGUAUUAAUCUAGUUCAUUUGACAACAUUUCUUUUUCAUGAUGGAGCUAGAAUAAUUGUAUGGCAUGUGUUAUGUUGGGCUAAUUAACUCAAACUUUUUUUGAGUCCUUGAUUACGGGAUCCAAAGAACUAGUUGGACUAGACUCGAGAUCACACACAGUUUAGUCGUGACACUUAAUUAGGAUGGCUAAACUACAUUUGAGUUUCAUUUGAUGGAUACUUGCUAUGAGAAUUAUGAAUUUUAUGAAUAUACACAUUAUAUGUAUGGUUUUAAAUAUUGUAAUUGAAGUUUUUGUAUUUUCUUUACGGUUAAAGGCUAUUACUACAACCCACUUUCGGUUGCCACAAGUUAGCACCACGAAAAUAGUGUUGCUUCAAAUCUCAGUCGCCAUGCCCAGCUGUUUUGUUGCACUAGGAUGUUGCAAGAGAGCACUUUCUAUUGUCACAAUAGCUUGGCACCACAUUUUUUUUCAUGAUUCAAUAAUUGUGUGACGCCACGAAAGUAAGUUUUGUCGAAAUAGAGUAUCGCCUCGAAAAGUUUACAUCGUCGCAGUAGCUUCUCGCUACAAACAUUUUUCCCGUUGCGAUAACUAUUUGGCGCCACCAAGCUAAGUUUUUUUGAAAUAGAGCAUCGCCAUGAAAAGUUUAAAUUGUCGCAAUAGUUUCUCGCUACAAACGUUUUACCCAUUGUGAUACCUAUUUAUCACCACCAAAACAAGUAUGUUGCAAUUUCUUGUUUUGUUGAAUGGAACAUUUGUUGUCAGAAAUUAAUGCCACAAGUGUAGCGAUUCGUGGAAAAAUGCAUAAUUCCACAAAAAUAAGGACAAUUGACAUAGUUUGUUGCCACAAAUGUCCAUCGCCAUGAACGAUUCCUUACAUGUUGCUUUAAAGCUAUCCCCACAAAUCAAAUGGUGGCAUCAGGUGAGUGUUGCGAGUGGAAAAUAUAUGGCAACCUCCCACAUGGAUGUUGUAAUAGCACACUUUAUUUUCACGACCGCCUUUUUGUGGAAAUAACGUAUUAUCACGCGACGGCUACCAACGAAUGUUGUUUCAUGGCAAUAGGUACUUAUCGCCACAAAUGAGCAUGUAUUGCGACGAUCGAUCAUGGUGCGAUAGACCCGGAUCCUUGUAGUUUACAACCAAUACAUGUUUCAUUGCAGUAUGAAGCCAUUUUUUGCAACAGUAUCCAUGACUAGCACCACAUGUUAGAAUUGUUGCAAUAUAUGUCAGGAUAUUACCACAAAGAUUUACAUUGUUACAAUACAUAGGCGCAAUUGCAACAAAAUGACUAAUUUCUGCAGCGUGACACACCUCUUGCAAUAUCACUACUAUAUUACAAUAUUGAUGCACCUUGUGGCAAUACAUGACUUCUAUUGCAACAAAAGGAGUACUUGGUGUGACAAAACGACAUUGUGGCAUUAUGUUGAUCCUAUUGCCAUGAACUGGAAUUCUGUGGUAAUAUCGUAUUUUAUUGCAACAAAAGAUAGUUGUAGCAAUCAAUUUUGUUGCAAUAGACCAUAAUCCUUGUAGUCCCCUUCCAAUUCGGCAUCACCCUUUGAUACGUACAUUUUGUACCAUGUUUCCUAUUAAUAUUUAUUUUGUUUAAGUCAUUAUUUCACUUUACGAUGCAAUCCUAAUGCCCUUUCUCUCUUAUUUUACAAAAUUCAUACAAAGAGGAAGAUUUCCCGUAACUGAAGUUGUGGAGUGAAUAGCACUAUGGAAGAAUUGGGUAUUCUCUAGAACUCCACAUGACCUGAAAAUUGAUGGAGAAUUAUUUUGAAAUAUAUUACAAAUAUGGAGAAGGAAAUACUAGGAGGGGGCCCAUAAAGGGGCCACGAGACUGGGGCGCACCCCUUUACCUCGUUGCCCCAACAGCCCUGUGGCACCCAUCUUAUCCUAUAUUAGCCUAUUUGACCUAAAAAAAUGAAGAGAGCAAUUUUGGGAUGAAGUGCCGCCCUCACGAGGUGGAUCCUGAACACGAGUACUUUUGCUCUCUGGCGAAGCAAUUCCGUCUGGGAAACCUCCCUCUGUGAGGGGGAAAUCAAAGCCAUCAUCAUCACCAAUGCUUCCUCCAUCGUGGGAGGACCAGUCUUUAGCAACAUAUUCGCCAACACCAUCUCAUAUCAUUAUGUAGUUCAUCUCUUGUACUCGAUCUUUGUUUCCAAACCUCACAUUGGUACCUAGGAGUUGCUAGUAGUGUUAAUUACACCUUGUAGUUGAUGCUAGUUGGUUUAUUUGGUGGAAGAUUAUAUGUUCACAUCCUUAAGCAUAUUCAUUACACCUCUGAUCUUGAACAUGAUGAUGAUUUGUAAGUAGUUACUUUCAUUCUCGAGGAUAUGGGACAAGUCUUGUUAUAAGUAAUCAUAUGAAGUUGGUAUUCGUUUGAUAUUUUGAUGAUGUGUAUGUUGGUCUUCCUUUAGUGGUGUAAUGUCAAUGUUGACUACACUACUAGAAAAAAGGAUGUUAGUGGCG